rnacentral:rRNA from 1 species
UGGGGAAUUUUGGACAAUGGGCGCAAGCCUGAUCCAGCCAUGCCGCGUGCGGGAUGAAGGCCUUCGGGUUGUAAACUGCUUUUGUACGGAACGAAAAGGUGCCUUCUAAUAAAGGGCGCUCAUGACGGUACCGUAAGAAUAAGCACCGGCUAACUUCGUGCCAGCAGCCGCGGUAAUACGAAGGGUGCGAGCGUUACUCGGAAUUACUGGGCGUAAAGCGUGCGUAGGUGGUUCGUUAAGUCUGAUGUGAAAGCCCUGGGCUCAACCUGGGAAUGGCAUUGGAAACUGGCGUACUGGAGUGCGGUAGAGGGUAGCGGAAUUCCCGGUGUAGCAGUGAAAUGCGUAGAGAUCGGGAGGAACAUCCGUGGCGAAGGCGGCUACCUGGACCAGCACUGACACUGAGGCACGAAAGCGUGGGGAACAAACA